rnacentral:tRNA from 1 species
GCCCUGGUGGCAGAAAAGUUAAGCACUCAGCUGCUAACCGAAAAGUUGGUGGUUUGAACCCACCCAGCGGCU